UAUUUGAUAUCUUUUUAGUUUCCUCCCAAUUUUUACUGUGAAAAUGAAAGUCAUAUUAUUUACAUUAUUUGCUGUCAUUUCACAUAUCGUUUUGGUCAAAGGUGCUUCAUUGAAGGAAUGUUUAACUAAAUGUGCAGGUGAAUUAAAUCCGAGUAAGAAAGCUGAGUGUUUAAAUAAUUGUGCUGGUUAAUAAAAUUACAAAAAAGCAGUAUACAAUAUUGAAGUAUUACUUGACUUCUCACCAAAAAUAUUAAUACUU